rnacentral:rRNA from 1 species
UACAGAGGGGGCAAGCGUUGUUCGGAAUUACUGGGCGUAAAGGGCGCGUAGGCGGCCUGUUAAGUCGAACGUGAAAUCCCUCGGCUUAACCGGGGAACUGCGUCCGAUACUGGUUGGCUUGAGUUUGGGAGAGGGAUGCGGAAUUCCAGGUGUAGCGGUGAAAUGCGUAGAUAUCUGGAGGAACACCGGUGGCGAAGGCGGCAUCCUGGACCAAUACUGACGCUGAGGUGCGAAAGCGUGGGGAGCAAACAGG